rnacentral:rRNA from 1 species
UACACUCCUGCGGGAGGCAGCAGUGGGGAAUAUUGGAUAAUGGGCGCAAGCCUGAUCCAGCCAUGCCGCGUGAGUGAUGAAGGCCCUAGGGUUGUAAAGCUCUUUCACCGGUGAAGAUAAUGACGGUAACCGGAGAAGAAGCCCCGGCUAACUUCGUGCCAGCAGCCGCGGUAAUACGAAGGGGGCUAGCGUUGUUCGGAUUUACUGGGCGUAAAGCGCACGUAGGCGGACUAUUAAGUCAGGGGUGAAAUCCCGGGGCUCAACCCCGGAACUGCCUUUGAUACUGGUAGUCUUGAGUUCGAGAGAGGUGAGUGGAAUUCCGAGUGUAGAGGUGAAAUUCGUAGAUAUUCGGAGGAACACCAGUGGCGAAGGCGGCUCACUGGCUCGAUACUGACGCUGAGGUGCGAAAGCGUGGGGAGCAAACAGGAUUAGAUACCCUAGUAGUCCC